rnacentral:rRNA from 1 species
CCUACGGGAGGCUGCAGUGGGGAAUAUUGCACAAUGGGGGAAACCCUGAUGCAGCGACGCCGCGUGAGUGAAGAAGGAUCUCGGUACGUAAAGCUCUAUCAGCAGGGAAGAAAAUGACGGUACCUGACUAAGAAGCCCCGGCUCACGACGUGCCAGCAGCCGCGGUAAUACGGAGGGGGCAAGCGUUAUCCGGAGUUACUGGGGGUAAAGGGAGCGUAGACGGCAGCACAAGUCUGGCGUGAAAUCCCGGGGCUUAACCCCGGAACUGCUUUGGAAACUGUGCGGCUGGAGUGCAGGAGGGGUAAGCGGAAUUCCUAGUGUAGCGGUGAAAUGCGUAGAUAUUAGGAGGAACACCGGUGGCGAAGGCGGCUUACUGGACUGUAACUGACGUUGAGGCUCGAAAGCGUGGGGAGCAAACAGGAUUAGAUACCCUUGUAGUC